CAAGUACUCCCUCCGUCCGGAAUUACUUGUCAUCAAAAUGGAUGUGUCUAGAACUAAAAUACAUCUAGAUACAUCCAUUUCAUUGACAAGUAUUUUCCAACGGAGGGAUUACAAG
rfam:Triticum aestivum genome assembly, contig: Triticum_aestivum_CS42_TGACv1_scaffold_457986_5DS